AAAAUCAGUAAAUAUAUUUAAUAAUAAUAAUAUUAAUAAUAAUAAAAAAGUUGUAACCAUUUCCCGUUUGUAAUCUAAAAUGACUGAAAAACGGCAAACUUCGCAAGGCUAUAUUAUCCUCAUUUUACAACAUUUUGCAACGAAACUUUGGAAUAUUACUAAUUUUGUGAUGCUCUUUCAAGCUGUGAUGAAAUUUUUGCCUAGACUUGUCGAGUUCAAAAUUUUGGUUAAUUGGGGAAUGGACCAUUGUGUGGUAUUUGGU